GAGAUAUGGGGUUAGAGUUUGUCAAAAGGGGACUCCCCAGACGAUUUCUCCUCUCUCUCGAGAAGAACACACGACGGCGAUGACAACUCCGAUCUCUGGAAAACUCGAGACUCAAGUCGAUUCUCCGAUUCAAAAUCGUUACUCUCUUGUUACUGAAAUCAGAUCCAACUACGGUACGAUCGCUCAAUUCUAGAGGUUUUCCUUUUCCCGUCCUUGAGAUUUAUCUUCUCCAAUCGCUCGAGAUCGAGAAUGUUUGUAUGGUAGAAUUUCUUGCGAUUUGUUUUUUUCUGAUUCAAUAACAUGAUUAGUAUAAGAAUUUCCCAAUUCCAUUAGAGGAUGCGACGGAUUUUGAAGAGUUUCUGGUCAGGAUUUGCCGAUGUAUCUCUAAUUCCAGAUAUGAUAAGGUGAGUUUUUUACCAGAUUUCAUUUUCAUUGAAGAAAUUAUGGUGAAUUUGAUCUUUGAUUGCUGAUUUUUAUUGUUUUUGUGAUGAAUUGUGGAUGCAUGUAAGUCCUUAACAAAUUUAGUUCCAGUUCUCAUUGGACUUAGUAUUGUAACACUAGUAAUUAAGUGAAAGAUAUUGUCCAUGCUUCUCUUCUAGAAAUUAGAGUGUUUUGAAGUUUAAUUUCAGUUUACCAUUGAUCUCUGUUGUUAAGCUUCGACCAUGUUUACGCUUAUAAGAAUUUCUUAUAUCAGUGCUCACGUUAUCUCUCUCUUUAUUUCAUUCUCUUUUAUUUGCUGAUAUAUUUUCUUUGUACUUUGAUGUAUGUAAUUUAGGCCAAAUUGGAUGACAAAACAUCAUUGUGUCAAGCAAUACAAAGACUGCAAUUUGAACAGAACCAAAGAGUAAUUUGAGUUCAUGGAUUUCACUUAAAGCUGGUAUGUUCUUCACAUGCUUUACAUACAUUUGAACUUGAUCCUAAUAUACCCUUUCUCUUGAACAAGUUGAGGUAAGAAUGCUGUAGAGAUUGAUUUAACUUGGUUUCAUCAUGUUUUUAAGUUUGUUAGUGAUUUGUCAGCUGUUAGAGAUCUUCUAGAUCGAAACACAAGAACCCAUCUUAAAUUCCUCGCUAUUAGUACUAUGUCAUUCUUCUUUUGGGAUGUUUAUGUGUAUGAGUUGAUAUUUUGAGUAAUCUGUUCAUCUUUAGUUCUUUAGAACAAUGACAAUAAAAUCUGAUAACCCUCUGUUUCUUUCUAUAGAAUGGGCACUUUUAGUCUGUAAGGAGAAGAAAGAUCCUUCAACACUCUCUGUCCAAGAUUGCUCUGGCUUCCUAAAUCUUUGGUACGUUCUUGUUGCGUUAUAGAUGACAUAACAAUCAAUCUUCUUCCUUUAGCUAGAGUGUUUUUAAGUUCAUCGGGUUUGUGUUCUUUAAGAAUAGUUACAUAUAUAUGUAUGUAUAUUCAGUAUGUUCUCUGGUUUAACGCAUUUACUGUAGAAAGGCGAUUAUGACUACAAAACUCUAUAGUUAUUAUGUUCAGGCACAAUUUUGUGUUCAUUGCUGAAAGGAUCUACCAUCUAUUGGAGGAGAAGAGCGUAGAGGACAAGUAAAGCAACAAAUGUUGUCCAGACAAGUGUGACAGAAGUUGUGGUUCAAAGUUUUGAAGAUAAGGCCAGAAGAAAAAGUUUUGAAGGUGUGAGUAUAUAGUAGAAAUAUUGUGGAUAUUUUAACAUGACACAUUUGUAUAUUUACAGUGGAAUUUUAAGUUUUAUCAAUAGAAAUUUUGUAUGGCUCACUAUAGUUUCAAAAUGUUUGUUUAUGCAAUUUUUAUUUAAUAAGUAA
rnacentral:lncRNA from 1 species